CUCUUAUCAAGAGUGGUGGAGGGAAGUGCCCUUUGAAGCCACGGCAACCGUCACUGCGACAAGGUGCCAAAUCACCGGAUGAAUUUCCAGAGAUGAGAG
rnacentral:ncRNA from 2 species